rnacentral:RNase_P_RNA from 1 species
AGUCAGCUGGGCAAUCGCUGGUGAAAGGCUUCGGUCUUUAACGAGAGGAAAGUCCGGGCUCCAUAGGGCAGGGUGCCAGGUAACGCCUGGGGGGCGAAAGCCUACGGAAAGUGCAGCAGAGAGUAGACCGCCUCAGCCGAAUCGGUUGCGGUAAGGGUGAAACGGUGCGGUAAGAGCGCACCGCGCGCGUGGUAACACGUUGUGGCAAGGUAAACCCCACUUGGAGCAAGGCCAAAUAGGAAUCCUAAGGCGCGGCCCGCGCUGGAUUCGGGUAGGCCGCUUGAGGCUGUUGGUGACGACAGCCCUAGAUGAAUGAUUGUCCUCGACAGAACCCGGCUUACAGGCUGACUCCU